rnacentral:rRNA from 1 species
GUGCCAGCAGCCGCGGUAAUACGUAGGGUGCGAGCGUUGUCCGGAAUUACUGGGCGUAAAGAGCUCGUAGGCGGUUUGUCGCGUCGUCCGUGAAAACUUGGGGCUCAACCCCAAGCUUGCGGGCGAUACGGGCAGACUUGAGUACUGCAGGGGAGACUGGAAUUCCUGGUGUAGCGGUGAAAUGCGCAGAUAUCAGGAGGAACACCGGUGGCGAAGGCGGGUCUCUGGGCAGUAACUGACGCUGAGGAGCGAAAGCGUGGGUAGCGAACAGGAUUAGAUACCCUGGUAGUCC